UGUGUUGUCAUUGUAAAUAACGUGGUUCGUCAAAAAAUCUGUCGAUAAUAUCCAUCGAGAGAUUUGUUUCAGCUUAAAAUUCUGAUCAGCUUAAAGAUGAGACACAAGGCGACGGUGAUGUUUGCAAAUCAAUGAAAAAACUGUAGUGUGCGGCAUAAAAGUAUUUAUACGAGCAAGCUGUUACAAGGCUGUUAACUGUUUCGAACAAAUUCAGAGUCACAAGAUGUUUUACUUGGAUGAGCAGACGCAGUCCUACAUCAUCUUCUUUAUCGCGAUCCUGUGUACUGUCGGCUACUGUGUCAUGGUGUUCUGUAUGCUGGUGUCGAUCAUCACAACGUUUUGUUUGAGGAGGCGGAUCUUGUUCCACAAGAAAUCGGACAGUUUCCUGUCAACAGACAGCUACCCUGGUGUGUCCAUCAUCAAACCUCUUAUGGGCCUAGAUCCACUUUUGGAAGAAAACCUCGAAAGUCAUUUUAGGAUACAAUAUCCAAAGUUUGAGCUGUUAUUUUGUUUUCCCGAUGACCAGGAUCCAGCCAUAAAUCUUGUAAAGCGACUUAUAGAAAAAUUUCCACAUGUCGACGCAAAAAUAUUUACAGGUGGAAAAGAGGGCAUCGUGAACCCCAUGGUAUUCAACAUGGCUCCUGGCUAUGACAAUGCCCAGUAUGACUGUGUAUGGAUCUGCACCAGUCGUAUCAAAGCUAAUACAGAUAUAAUUGUUGACAUGGCGUCCAAGUUACAACACCCAAGUGUAGCUCUUGUUCACCAGAUGCCUUUUACCACCGAUAUUAGUGGAUUUGCCGCGGCUGUAGAAAAGAUUUACUUUGGGUGUGCUAUGGCGAGGUUCUACCCAGCCUUCAAUACUCUAGGGCUGUGCUGUUGUACUGGCAUGUCCUAUAUGUUUAAAAAAUCCCUCCUAGACGAGUUGAAGGGGCUCAAUUAUUAUGGACGCUACCUCGCCGAAGAUUUCUUUCUCACAUCAGCAUUACAUGAAAAAGGUCAUAAACUUGUACUAUCAGCAUACCCAGCACAACAAAAUAUAGCUUCUCUUACACUACGAGCUUUUAAAGACAGAAUGGUCAGGUGGACCAGACUUCGCCUGAACAUGAUACCAUUGGUAGCAGGUUUUCUAGAACCUCUAUCUGAUUGCGUUCCCUCUGGCCUUAUUGGAGGAUGGACCUUCUACCAUUUCUUCGGAGUUCAUAUGUAUUAUUUUUUCCCUAUCCACGUGUUGGCAAUGCUGUGGGUGGAUUAUUUACAAUUAAGGAUGGUUCAGAAUGGACCUCCACCAUUUUCUAAGCUCAAAUAUGUGCUAUAUUGGGUAUUCCGAGAACUGAUGGCCACAUUUAUAUAUUUGGAAGCCAUUUUAAAACCACGAACAAUUCCGUGGGGCAAGAAAGUAUUCAAGGUGACGCUGGGUGGACAUACUACCCUUGUGACGGACAAGGCCCAUGAUUGACAUAGGUAUUCUCUAGGGAUGAAAUUUACUGCAAUAUGGAUUUUAAAACUUGUCCUCCGUAAAAUGAUCUGACUUCUGUGCGUAUCAGACUUUUGAAAAGUGCAGAAGGACCAAGAUGCUGAGGUAUCGCUGUGUUUGAAUGUUGGAGUGAAAUAUUAUCAGAUCUGUGCUAUUUUUACGUGUCAAUGAUCUAUAGGAUGAUACACACGGACAUCGCAACUUCAAGACAAAGCAUUCCUAGAGAAUACAACUGGCUGCUGAUUCACCUGAGUGCUACCAUAACACUGCUGUUUACAGAUUACUCAGUUUCUAAAGAGCAAGCUCCCAGAAUUUUCAACAGUCUACUUAGAGGUGCAUUUCCACACUGAACUGCUGGAAUUGUAUUUCAUGUUGAAGUUUUAUACAUAUAACGACCUCGCCUGUAUUACAAACAUCUUUUCUGACUUAUGUCCCUUCUUAACGACCUCACCUGUAUCAGGAAAGUCAGGGACUUUUUAACAAGCUUAACUGUAUCAGGAAAUUCUAGUGUGAUGUCUUGACGAACUCACCUGUACCAGGAAAUUCUACUAUUCUUCCUUAAUGAGCUCACCUGUACCAGGAAAUUCUACUGUUUUACUGUGUGGGUUGUAUUAUCAACCGAUGUAAUUCUACUGACAAUCACAUUCUACUGUGUGAGUGUUACCAUCAACAGGGUGGUUUUACUAACGACCUCAUUGUUAUCUUAGAUAGUAGAUCAAUACAACAAUGCAAAACAUGUUCAACUUGGUAAGGCAUAAACCAAAAUCACACACCUCAGUAUUGCAGUGGGAUGGUCUUUUGUUUGUAUUGUUAUGGUUCAGUCCAUGUGAACGCAAUAGGGAAGUCAAGCUACAAAGAAUCUGCUGUUUAUAGUAGCUGGUUUUACAACAUCAUUUUGUCAAAGAUGGUACACUUUUUGUUGAUAUUGGUGUCUCCCAAUUAGGAGUCGCUGUACUGCUUGUUCUGGCACCUUCCAAAUGUACAGCCCCACCUGGAAAGCAGGGUAGACAACUCUGGCGAUACAGAUCUGUCACACUUUCAUUCCUGUGGGAAAGAAAUUCAGACAUGUUAAGUGUAAUGCAAGGUCAUGUGUAUAAUAUUAGAGCAUUUAGUUUAUUUAAACAAAUUCUGGAGUUAGAAUAUAUGAAGUAUAUAAAUUAUGAUUUGUUGUGUUUAUUUUUGUUAAGAUAUAGUACAUAUAAUAUGUAGUUGUUAUGUAGCCAUGUAGCAUGUAUUUAAGUUAAGGAUGUAUGCUAUCAUGUAUGAAUAAUUAUGUGUAAACAAUUUUUUUCUUACAUGUACACAAGACGCAUAUCUCCAGAGAGAUCAAUAAUUCAUUUAAGUUGAGAAGAAAAAGCAAAAAAGAUAUUUCAGUUUUUUCAAAUGAGAAAUCGCAAACUUCCCCUAUUUGGCCUAAAAUACACCAUGAUUAACAAGUAGUAGUGACACUUUAUAAAAUAUGUUGAUCAGUAGGAGAGCCUGGGCACAAUCCAGAUUAAUUGACAGGUCACAUGUAUCUAACACAUCAAAGUUUUGUACUGUAUACAGUAUUACAUUAAAGUUUCGUACUGUAUACAGUAUUACAUCAACCUUUUGUACUGUAUACAGUAUAACAUCAACGUUUUGUACUGUACCGUAUACAAAAUCACAUCAAAGUUUUGUACUGUAUACAGUAUUACAUCAAAGUUUUGUACCGUACACAGUAUUACAUCAAAGUUUUGUACUGUAUACAGUAUUACACCAAACAUAAGUACUGCAUAUAUACUGUAUGUAUGACAUCAAGCAUAAAUACAAAUGGCUGUAUGUUAUGAAGUGUUUCAAUUAAUUGUGUUUGAAAUUAAGAAUUUUUUAAAGAAUAUAAAUUAUUGAUACAAUGGUAUUUUUUUGUUUGCAUUAUCAGAAGAACUUUUUCAUGUAUACAUAUUUUUAUGUUCCUACAUUAGAAGCAUACACCAGUUGAAUGCCACAUCUUCACAUCUGUAGGGCUAUUUGACUGAAAUAUAUUUAACUAUAAUACUCUAAAAUUUUGCUUCAUGUAAAUUUGUGGUGAACAUUUUGAUAGGAACACAAUAGAUAUUUUAUCUGCUGGCAGUGUUAACUGGACACUUGAUUAACUGACAUACAUAAUAGUGUGUAUGGUUACAUAUGUGUGACAUACAUAAUAGUGUGUAUGGUUACGUAUGUGUGACAUACAUAAUAGUGUGUAUGGUUACGUAUGUGUGACAUACAUAAUAGUGUGUAUGGUUACGUAUGUGUGACAUACAUAAUAGUGUGUAUGGUUACGUAUGUGUGACAUACAUAAUAGUGUGUAUGGUUACGUAUGUGUGACAUACAUAAUAGUGUGUAUGGUUACGUAUGUGUGACAUACAUAAUAGUGUGUAUGGUUACGUAUGUGUGACAUACAUAAUAGUGUGUAUGGUUACGUAUGUGUGACAUACAUAAUAGUGUGUAUGGUUACGUAUGUGUGACAUACAUAAUAGUGUGUAUGGUUACGUAUGUGUGACAUACAUAAUAGUGUGUAUGGUUACGUAUGUGUGACAUACAUAAUAGUGUGUAUGGUUACGUAUGUGUGACAUACAUAAUAGUGUGUAUGGUUACGUAUGUGUGACAUACAUAAUAGUGUGUAUGGUUACGUAUGUGUGACAUACAUAAUAGUGUGUAUGGUUACGUAUGUGUGACAUACAUAAUAGUGUGUAUGGUUACGUAUGUGUGACAUACAUAAUAGUGUGUAUGGUUACGUAUGUGUGACAUACAUAAUAGUGUGUAUGGUUACGUAUGUGUUUGACUGGUGGUUUUUGUUGUUUGUUUUGUGUGGGGAAAAUGUGAUGAAGCUUAUAUUGUUAUUUGUGAUAUUUGAUAUUAUUGUGUGGCAAUAUUUUUAUAUAAGACAAGUUAUCUAUAGUCCCACUUUUUUAUUCCUUUUACAGUUAACAUUCCUUACAUGGUAAUACAUUUAUAUACGUUACUAGUAACGAUCAUUGGUUAGCUACAUUUAUAUACCAGGUACUUGUACUAGUAACACAACUACAGGUAGAAGUAACAUGACCACAGGAACUAGUAACACAACUACAGGUGGAAGUAACAUGACCACAGGAACUAGUAACACGACCAGAGGGACUAGUAACACAACCAGAGGGACUAGUAACACGACCAGAGGGACUAGAAACAUGACCGGAGGUACUAGUAACAUGACAACAGGUACUAGUAACACGACUACAGGAACUAGUAACAUGACCAGGGACUAGUAACAUGACCACAGGUACUAGUAACACAACCACAAGUUUCUGUUUCUGCCAUAUAAUUGCCUUCUUCACCAUGAUGAAGAUCAUGCAAUAUUUAUAACUGCCGUGUAGCAGUUACUAGUAACGAUCAGUGGAUAGCUAAUUUAUAUACCAGAUACUAGUUACACAACCACAGGUAUAAGUAACACGACCAAAGGUACUAGUAACAUGACCAGAAGAACUAGUAACACCACUACAGAAACUAGUAACACAACCACAGGUUGAAGCUACACAACCAAAGGUAUCAGUAACACGACCACAGAUACUAGUAACAAUCAGUGGACGAUUCAAGAUAAGUAUUACAGAAAUCAUUUGUAUGAUAUAAAAGGGGGACAACUUUUGGUGAAAUCAUAGUUGUGAUACACUAGGGAGUUACUCUCACGUAGGUCACACUAACAACAGUCACAGAUAUAUACAUAAGGGAGAGAACUCUUGGUGAAGUCCAGGUAUGAUACAUAUAAGGGAGGUAAUUCUUGGUGAAGUCCAGGUAUGAUAUAUAUAAGGGAGGUAACUCUUGGUGAAGUCCAGGUAUGAUAUAUAUAAGGGAGGUAACUCUUGGUGAAGUCCAGGUAUGAUAUAUAUAUAAGGGAGGUAACUCUUACAAUGGUCACCGAUAUGAUAUUACAAUGGUUAAAUAAUCAUGUAAUUCAAUUUUCCUGGUAGGGUACACACAAACCUGAUUGUCUCUGAGAUGUCCUGGAUGUUGUCGACAAAUAAAUAUCUAUGAUUCUUUUUUUUAAGGAAUGCAUUAAUAGCAACAGAUAUGUGGCCCAUGUAUCAACAUUGACAUUGUGUAAUUGACCAUUUCAUUAUAAGAUAUAUAUUCUUGACAUUCAAGUUUACUUUUCAAAUUUCAUGUUUUAUACACUAAAUGCUUAACAACUUUCCUAUUAGAGUGUGAAAUAGGCGUUUCAGGACUUUUUAAUCUCCGAAAACAGAUAUGGUGCUCAGAGUCAACUAAUAGCUGUGUGUAUUGGCCCAGAUUCUUCCCAUCUAAAUCAUUUUCUCAUUCAUUGAAAUUGAAAACAUUAAUAUGGCUAUAUGGAGUAAUAUUCCAGGUGUAACAAAAAUCUUAUAGUGUCGCAGGACAGAAAGCCGACAUUGACAAAAUCAUGAAAACUUUUAAACAUCACAAGUUUUUAACAGAAUUUUUUUAUAUUUUUACUAUAACUAAAUAAUUUUCCAAAGUUGUCAAAAUUAGUAAAUAGCCACAAACUCAUUGAAUAUUGCCAUUUGUCAUAAGAUUGGAAUCCAGUAUUUUUACUGAUUUCCUAUUUUUAUUGUGUGUGCUUUAAAAGGGAACUAUUUUGUGAAGUUAAGUUGUAUGACCAAACAAUAGAGUUUGUAUAACAUAUGCCACUGUUAAGCUGUAUACACGAAGCAGUGUUUGUUUAUGUAUGGGUAGCGUGUUUUAUGUAAAUGAAAUGGUUCAGUAAAAGCUAGCAUUUCAUGUUUGAAAUCCAUGUUUCUUUCCAUUUCAUAUCAUUCAUGUUUCCUUUCUUUCAUUUUGUAUGACAUUCAUGCGUUAAUUAUUCUAAUCUGUACAUAUUCUGAAUAUUAACUACCAUAUAUAAUUAUUGUACACAAACUAAUUUGAAUUUUUGAAAUUUGAAUACCAAAAACUAUUUUGAUUUAAAUAAGGAAAAUUAAUCAAACAAUGUCUGAUAUUUUCUCCCUGUGUGUUCAAACCUUAAUACUAAGUACUCCACAGAAAAUAUGCAUAAUACAAUUGCUCAAUUAUUUAAUUAUCUGAUGUAUUGGUUAUACGAGAGUAUGGGUUUGUUAUACAGACGUAGGGCCUUGAUAUACUGGAAGACGACAUUGUUAUGCAGUGGUGGGGCCCAGUUAUACUGUAGUAGGGCCUCAUUAUGCAGUAGUGCAGCCUUGUAAUAGUAGCAGGGCCUGGUUAUACUGGAAGAUGACGUUACAAGGCCCUGGUUAUACUGAAAGAUGACAUUAUCUAGUGGUUGGGGCCCAGUUAUACUGUAUUGGGACCUUGUAAAAGUGGCAGGGCCUGGCUAUACUGGAAGAUGAGGUUAUUGGUGGGGCCCAGUUAUACUGUAGUAGGGCCUUGUAAUAGUGGCAGGGCCUGGUUAUACUGCUGCAGGGCCUCUUUAUACUGUUUUAUACGGGAAGGGGUCUUGCAAAGCCUGGUUAUACGGGAAUGGGAUCUGGUAAUACUGAUAAACCUUGACCAGUAUAUAGGGAUCAGAUCUAGUUAUAAAUGGUGUUGUCUGCUGAUUCAUUGGUGGGGCCAGGAAAUACAGGGUUGGAAUGUUAAAGUUAUACAUAAAUGGGGCCUGAUUAUCCUACACAGGGCAAAAUUUAUCAUUAGUUUCUAGCAUUUGUCCGUUGCUCUACUACUUGCAAAUUAUAUAAGUCUUUGCCAAGCAGUUCUUCUAUAUUAAGAUAUAUAUAGAACUAAUACAAUGAAAACGUUAGAGCAAAGAAAUAAUUAAAAUGAAUAAAUUUAUUAUGUAAUUAUUUGUGUAAAAAUAAAACAGUAUUAGUCAUUACUUCUCUCUGUAUAUCAAAGAAAACAUCAGGCAUAAUAAAAAUUGCUAGACCCUUAUAUAUGACUCGUUCCCCCCACCUCCUACUUCUUACAACUGACCACAACC